rnacentral:rRNA from 1 species
UGCUUAAUACAUGCAAGUCGAGUGAAGGAAAUCCCUGUAGCAAUACAGGGGUUUUUAUUCACGGCGCACGGGUGCGUAACACGUGGGUGACCUACCCUAAGAUGGGGAAUAACCCCGCGAAAGCGGGGCUAAUACCGCAUAACAUUCCGCGACAUUCGGGUCGCGGAUUCAAAGUCUUCGGACGUCUUUGGAGGGGCCCGCGGCCGAUUAGCUAGUUGGCGAGGUAAUGGCUCACCAAGGCAAUGAUCGGUAGCAGGUCUGAGAGGACGAUCAGCCACACUGGAACUGAGACACGGUCCAGACUCCUACGGGAGGCAGCAGUGGGGAAUCUUGCGCAAUGGGCGAAAGCCUGACGCAGCGACGCCGCGUGGGGGAUGAAGCUUCUCGGAGUGUAAACCCCUUUCGACCUAGAAGAAACGCCUCGCAAGAGGAAUUGACAGUAUAGGGAGAAGAAGCCCCGGCUAACUACGUGCCAGCAGCCGCGGUAAGACGUAGGGGGCCAGCGUUGCUCGGAAUUACUGGGCGUAAAGGGUUCGUAGGCGGUGCGGCAAGUCUCGAGUGAAAUCUCCCGGCUCAACCGGGAGGCUGCUCGGAAAACUGCUGUGCUCGAGUGUGGGAGAGGCGCGUGGAAUUGCGGGUGUAGCGGUGAAAUGCGUAGAUAUCCGCAGGAACACCAGAGGCGAAAGCGGCGCGCUGGACCAUAACUGACGCUGAGGAACGAAAGCUAGGGGAGCAAACAGGAUUAGAUACCCUGGUAGUCCUAGCCCUAAACGAUCGGCACUUGAGGUGGGCCCUGUCCGGGGUCCGUCUCGCAGCCAACGCGAUAAGUGCCGCGCCUGGGGAGUACGGUCGCAAGACUGAAACUCAAAGGAAUUGACGGGGGCCCGCACAAGCGGUGGAACAUGUGGUUCAAUUCGACGCAACGCGAAGAACCUUACCUGGGCUCGAAGUACUGCUGACCAUCUGUAGAAAUAUGGACUUCCCGCAAGGGACAGCAGUAGAGGUGCUGCAUGGCUGUCGUCAGCUCGUGCCGUGAGGUGUUGGGUUAAGUCCCGCAACGAGCGCAACCCUUACAUUCUGUUGCCACCCGCAAGGGGGAACUCGGAAUGGACUGCUCCGGAUAACGGAGAGGAAGGUGGGGAUGACGUCAAGUCAGCAUGGCCUUUAUGUCCAGGGCUACACACGUGUUACAAUGCGCGGUACAGACUGUUGCCAACCCGCGAGGGGGAGCUAAUCGGAAAAAACCGCGCUCAGUUCGGAUUGCAGUCUGCAACUCGACUGCAUGAAGCUGGAAUCGCUAGUAAUGGCGUAUCAGAUCGGCGCCGUGAAUACGUUCCCGGGCCUUGCACACACCGCCCGUCAC